UACGAAGGGGGCUAGCGUUGCUCGGAAUCACUGGGCGUAAAGGGCGCGUAGGCGGCCGAUUAAGUCGGGGGUGAAAGCCUGUGGCUCAACCACAGAAUUGCCUUCGAUACUGGUUGGCUUGAGACCGGAAGAGGACAGCGGAACUGCGAGUGUAGAGGUGAAAUUCGUAGAUAUUCGCAAGAACACCAGUGGCGAAGGCGGCUGUCUGGUCCGGUUCUGACGCUGAGGCGCGAAAGCGUGGGGAGCAAACAGGAUUAGAAACCCCGGUAGUCC
rnacentral:rRNA from 1 species